CUCCAAUUCAAUUUUGUUGUGGAAGAAUGUCUUGCGUGCUUUGUCGUUUCUGCGGAUCUCGAGUUGCAUUCAUGGAGGAUUACAUAAGUAUUAACGAAAUUAAGCAUGGAAUCAAGUUUAUUUUGCGGACAUUGCCAGGAGGGAUCUUUAAGAGGGUGUUUAAUGUUCUUUUACUAGACAAAGUAAAUUACAAUGGAAUUAUCAAAGUUCAAUCACUAUUUGGAACUACUGUAGCCAAUGCUAACUGUGGCCAAUGUAGAACGA